CACGUAGGGGGCGAGCGUUGUCCGGAUUCAUUGGGCGUAAAGGGCGCGCAGGCGGCCCGGUAAGUCGGAUGUGAAAACUCGAGGCUCAACCUCGAGCGUGCACCCGAUACUGCCGGGCUUGAGGCAGGUAGGGGAGAUCGGAAUUCCUGGUGUAGCGGUGAAAUGCGCAGAUAUCAGGAGGAACACCGGUGGCGAAGGCGGAUCUCUGGGCCUGUCCUGACGCUGAGGCGCGAAAGCUAGGGGAGCGAACAGG
rnacentral:rRNA from 1 species